rnacentral:rRNA from 1 species
GAUAGAGCGACGUCGCGUGAGUGAAGAAGGCCUUCGGGUUGUAAAGCUCUGUCACCGGGGAAGAAGGUAUUUAUGAGGAAAUGCAUAGAUAUUGACGGUACCUGGAGAGGAAGCACUGGCUAACUACGUGCCAGCAGCCGCGGUAAUACGUAGAGUGCAAGCGUUGUCCGGAAUUAUUGGGCGUAAAGGGUACGCAGGCGGCCCUGCAAGUCAAAUGUGAAAGGUCACAGCUUAACUGUGAGAAUGCGUUUGAAACUGUAGGGCUUGAGUACAACAGAGGAGAGCGGAAUUCCUGGUGUAGUGGUGAAAUACGUAGAGAUCAGGAAGAACACCAGUGGCGAAGGCGGCUCUCUGGGUUGAUACUGACGCUCAGGUACCAAAGCUAGGGGAGCGAACGGGAUUAGAUACCCCGGUAGUCCUAGCAGUAAACGAUGGAUACUAGGUGUUGGGGGUUCGAAUCCCUCAGUGCCGCAGUUAACGC